rnacentral:rRNA from 1 species
AUUGAACGCUGGCGGCAGGCCUAACACAUGCAAGUCGAACGAGUGGCGGACGGGUGAGUAAUGUAUGGGAAACUGCCUGAUGGAGGGGGAUAACUACUGGAAACGGUAGCUAAUACCGCAUACCCUCGGAUGUGCCCAUAUGGGAUUAGCUAGUAGGUGGGGUAAAGGCUCACCUAGGCGACGAUCCCUAGCUGGUCUGAGAGGAUGACCAGCCACACUGGAACUGAGACACGGUCCAGACGCCUACGGGAGGCAGCAGUGGGGAAUAUUGCACAAUGGGCGCAAGCCUGAUGCAGCCAUGCCGCGUGUAUGAAGAAGGCCUUCGGGUUGUAAAGUACUUUCAGCGGGGAGGCGUUACCCGCAGAAGAAGCACCGGCUAACUCCGUGCCAGCCGCCGCGGUAAUUC